GGGGGUGCACCGGUUUCGACUGGUAUGGUUCGGGGUGCAGGCUGCAGGCGGAGUGCCGACCUCCUAACAUUCGGCGCCAAUUUAAUUGCCGAUUACGACAAUUACGCUCUUGCCGCAUAGCGGCUGAACGCGGAAACCGUUCCCUUGCCUUGAGGGGCCGGACUUCCGUCGCAAACAAGGCUAAUCCCGCGCUGCGUUCUGACGGCGCGGGCCGAAAACAGACUCGGAAAUACGGAUGGGAUAGUGCGAGCCGCGCAGCCGCCCCUGUCCCGACAACGCUAAUGCGCGGCUAAACCUGUAGAGGCUUGUAUUUCGCGUAUCAGGACGCGGGUUCGACUCCCGCCACCUCCAACC
rnacentral:tmRNA from 1 species